ensembl:lincRNA
CGCUGGAGGAGCUGCGCGGCCGGCGGAGAACUUUUUUCCUUUUCCCUUCGCUCUCCCUCUUCGGCUCGCGCCUAGGCCCUGGCCACUCUCCCGCGGCCUCAAGCAGCCAGCACAGGCUCCAAGUGACCGCGGGGCCACAGUGCGCGAGAGGAAAGGGGUUCGGAACGUGCGGGGUGGAGAGCUGGGACGCACAUGACGGCCCCUUUCUCCGCCCUGACUUAAUGCCCCAGCGCUCGCAGCCGCUGCUCUCUUUUUAAGAGAAUGGGGCAGGUGCAGGUUUGGUUGCUGCUGUUUUAGCCGCUCCAAGGAAAUUGUUUGGUGUAAGAUUGAUUUCCUAAGCGAAUGCGUGCGCGUUUCCAGCAACACAGGGCAACAUUUCUCGCCCCCAAAACCGGUGAAAUUAAACAGAUUUCCUUUUGAAAAGGCCCUUGGGGACGCUAGGGAGUCAGAUGUGACAACUAAUUUUAAAAUAACUGUUUAACGGGUGGUUAGGGAGCUCGCUUUCUCUCCACUACCAAGUUCACCUCUUCUUCCACCCCCUCUAAAGCAAGUGACUUGACGAUAGGUGACCCGUCCCCUAUUCCUCCCCUUAAUGCCAGUCUGGAAGCGCACUGUCUUGGAGAAGGGAUGUGUCUCCUCGCCCUCGAGAACCAGCGCGGAGAUCUUCUUUUGUGCCUCCGCUUGGCUGUGAACUUUCCCGCGCGAGGCCGGUUUCCUGUCUGUGUGUGGAAUGGAAGGACCGCGCCGGUUGCCUGCAAAUGGCUGGCUUCCGUUUACUGACUGCACCACCUGUACUUCUCCACGAAACUAAAUGGAGUCGGGAAUAAAGCACCAAUCAGAUCAAGCAAUUAAAUACCAAUUAUGACUAUUAAUGACUUUAUUGCUAAUGACUGGAGUAGAGGACUCCAAAUCCAAUUGAGGGCACCACGAGGCACCCUGAGAACUCAGAGGACACAGAGGCUCCCCUCAAACAAAUUCCCUGCUGACCCUGGACACCCCUUGAAAGAGGGGGCAAGAGGCUGCCACAAGGGUCGGCUUAUAACUCCCAGCAAAGAUUCCCAGCAAACAAGUUCCGUUUGGGCUCUGCCUACCACUAAGCCUGGUGGUGGGGGAGCCAGGGUCCCUGAACAGGGCAAAGAUAAUCAGUUGUUCCCCUUUCUGGGGUCAGAGGCAAAGAAGCCUGAAGGGCUGGCGGUGGUGCUGGCUCUGGGUUUAUUGACUCUGUGAUUCUGUCCAGCUGUCCUGCGGGGAGUUCCAGAGCGCUCCCAAAGUGCAUGGGGAAACUGCAGAAGCAGGACUGGGGCACAGUACCAGAAGCUAUUUGUCUCUUAGAACCUGACGCCCCCUCCACUUACCUUACCGGAGACCCACAUCACUCAGGUCUCAGGACACCUGGUGGGAGAGACUGGUGAGAAUCGAAGGCAGGUUUCCUCUACUUACAACUUGUUUGAAAAUGGACAUAAAGAGGAGAACAGACACUCCAUCACCCAUACAGUGCCUCCAUUGUGUCAGAAAACCUAUCCCUUCCUAGGGCACCCUUGACACUCCCCUAGGUGGGCCUACAUAUUGUUCAGGACCUGUCCCCUGUACCCAAAUAAAUAUAAAUGAGUUCGUUUCUUUAAAAGAAAUAUUACCAGGCUUAUAAGAGCCACGCUAGUGAAAGAAAAAAAAAAUUUUUUAAAAAAAGUAAAAAAGAAAAGAAAUAUUAAAUAUUAAACUUUUCCCAUUCAGAAUCCACCUAAUUUCAUUAAUGUCUCUUGCCAGGAGCCAUAACCCCCUCCCCACCUGUUUUCCCUUCUUUUUUUUUUGUGGCUUAAAAUUGCAUUUUAGGAGGGUUGAUAUAAUGUUGUUCAUGUCAGCAAGUCUCCCUGCCCCACCCACACCCCACCGCCCUAUAUGGGAUUAUAGUUGGAAACCACACACACACACAGAGAAAAUCUUUUAAGAUUUUUUUCUGCUAUUCUUCCUGACUAGAAGAGUUGACAAGACAUAGACACAUUAAGUUGCAUAAAAUACAGUAGCGUGAUCAGCCUAAAUGCAUCUCAUUUGCACUGUUUGUAGCCAGGGGUGGGGGCUUGUGCCACUCAUUGCCUCCUCCUCCUCCUCCCAGGGCAGAUCAGCCGGCUGGAAUUUCAGAGCAGGCCCCAAGGCAGCAGCCAUUUGGGAGGUGGAAGCCCCAGCCCACCCCAGGCCAGCGCGGGUGGGAGAGUGGAUAGGGAAUGUGUCUGGAGGUCUGGCCUGAGGGCUUGAACCAGCUUUGGCAGACCUGGGCUCUGGGAGGCUUGGCGGGUGGGUGCCCGCAGCUGGAAGCUGGAGGCCUGCAGCGAUACUUCUGAGCUUCUCUUGAGUUGAGUUCAAGAAAGGGGACACCAAGAAGUAGGGGAACAGUCACUGACUAUAUUUUACAUCCACGUCCACCCUUUCCCAGAGUUGUGUUCUCACCAUUCACUUUGUCGGUGGAGGAGAAACACUUCUGCCUGAUGGGUUUCUGCACCUGCUCCUAGCCCUGAACUCGGGCCCUGAGCUGCUCACUGCCGCCUGCUCUGCGCUGAGCCCCACUCCUGAGCCCGGGAGGUGCCGGAGCAGCGCCUCUCCCACAACUCCGAGAGGCCCGUGGGAGCGGCGCCGGAGCCUUCAAAACCCCGUAGGGGCGUGGGGGUGAAGUUGGGGAUCAUCCGGGUGAUUUUUUUUUACUAUUUCCCAAUCAUUCUCCCGCGUUUAUGUCAACUCUUCCAGUCUCCCGGUGUUGGGGCGCCAAUCCUUUCCCUCCAAUUCCUACCCACCAGCUGGAGGUCGGGUCCCAGGG